AUAAUUUUUCUCUAAACAGAUUUUGUUGCCUCUGAAAUAAACAACUGUGCUCUGUUGCAAGAAGGAAUUGUUUCGAUACUAAAAGGGAAAGGUUGUACCGGUUAGCUUGCGAGAUAUGCUGAUUAGGUGAUGGCUUGGUGGAAAGUCAUGCUUGGACAGGAAGGGAGUGGCAAUUGCCUUUUGCACAACAAAAAAACAGUUUUUAGUCAACGAAAGAUUGUUCCUAACCAUCCUUGUACUGAACUUUCUCAACCUGACAUGUGAUUGCAGCUGAUGUCAAUCAUUUGCCUAUUCUCGGUUGAUAUUAGAGAAUGAAUAGGAUUCCACCAUUCUUGUAUUGCAGUUAAUUUGACCUUAAGGCAUGGAUACUAUUUUUUGGCCUGAAACAAUUAUACUGCCUUCUUUCCUGCAAUGUAAUUUGGUUGAGUUUGUAUA